UACCGUAUUCUGCUCACGAACGAUUGUGUUUGAUCUCCUCGAGAGAGAAAGACCAACUUCGUGUGGCUUAACGAAACUUUUGCCUAUCUGGUCGUUAUGGUCUAAGAGUGCGCGUAGCAGAUGCUAGGAGACCCCGUCCGGGGGUCCUUCGCUCCCUCGAUCGCCCGGUCCCCGGGUGAUGAAGCUCUCAGCGAGGGAUAGAGCGAGGUUGACCAGUCUGUGGCGAGGUUGUCGAGGAUAAGAGGGGUCGUCUCUCCUUUCUUCAUGGACCUCGGUAUGUCCGUUACUUUUUUUUUUUGUAGUUGUCGGUACGUACGACCCUUUCGGUUGCUCGCUCGAUUAAAGGACGAUUUCGAUCGACCUUUAGAGCGACUCGAAAGGGUACGUUCAAAGAGUUCUUGGUGGAGACGCCAAGCCGCCGGUCAACUACAUUUCCCCGGUCGUCUAACAAUUUUUUUUCCACACGAUCAAGGACACAUCUAGUUUGUUGCGAGCCGUCGUCUUUUCGGCGGCCGUCUCACAUAAUUUGAAACGUUAACGUACGACCGUAGGCGUUGGAUCUCUCGGCUCGU
rnacentral:misc_RNA from 1 species